CACGGGGGGAGCAAGCGUUGUUCGGAAUCACUGGGCGUAAAGGGCGUGUAGGCGGUCAGGUAAGUGGAAUGUGAAAUCCCUCGGCUCACCCGAGGACCUGCAUCCCAAACUGCCUGGCUUGAGUAUGGGAGAGGAUGAGGGAAUUCCUGGUGUAGCGGUGAAAUGCGUAGAUAUCAGGAGGAACACCGGUGGCGAAGGCGCUCAUCUGGCCCAGUACUGACGCUGAGGCGCGAAAGCUAGGGGAGCAAACGGG
rnacentral:rRNA from 1 species